rnacentral:rRNA from 1 species
UCCACGCCGUAAACGAUGUCGACUUGGAGGUUGUUCCCUUGAGGAGUGGCUUCCGGAGCUAACGCGUUAAGUCGACCGCCUGGGGAGUACGGCCGCAAGGUUAAAACUCAAAUGAAUUGACGGGGGCCCGCACAAGCGGUGGAGCAUGUGGUUUAAUUCGAUGCAACGCGAAGAACCUUACCUACUCUUGACAUCCAGAGAACUUUCCAGAGAUGGAUUGGUGCCUUCGGGAACUGUGAGACAGGUGCUGCAUGGCUGUCGUCAGCUCGUGUUGUGAAAUGUUGGGUUAAGUCCCGCAACGAGCGCAACCCUUAUCCUUUGUUGCCAGCGCGUGAUGGCGGGAACUCAAAGGAGACUGCCGGUGAUAAACCGGAGGAAGGUGGGGAUGACGUCAAGUCAUCAUGGCCCUUACGAGUAGGGCUACACACGUGCUACAAUGGCGCAUACAAAGAGAAGCGACCUCGCGAGAGCAAGCGGACCUCACAAAGUGCGUCGUAGUCCGGAUCGGAGUCUGCAACUCGACUCCGUGAAGUCGGAAUCGCUAGUAAUCGUGGAUCAGAAUGCCACGGUGAAUACGUUCCCGGGCCUUGUACACACCGCCCGUCACACCAUGGGAGUGGGUUGCAAAAGAAGUAGGUAGCUUAACCUUCGGGAGGGCG